CUGGACGACCGGGGUUCGAUCCUCGACGGGGGGGGGGAGACAGAGGACAAAACCUAUAUAAUAAUGUUUGUCCCAACCUCGGGAGGUAUUCGAUGUAGCCUUUAAAACGGUUCGGGCAAAUAUAUAGACGUUCUGUUCUGUAGCUGGCACUAAGACCCAGAAAGUCUGUGGUGUGUAAAUCUCUUGGACAGCGGCCAUUUGGAAGACGCGCGAGAUGAAAUAACGACAUUGAUGUUUUAGGAUGAUUCACAGAGAACGAGGUUAUGGGGACUACAGAUUAUAGCUGUCCAGGACCUCGGUUCGAGCCCAGAUUUAAUAACCACAAAGAAUCAUAUCCUCUGCGAAGCACAAAGUCAAGAUAUAAAGCACGCAAAGGCCAUUGAACAUCCCAUUACAGUUUUGCAUAUUUCAUUACACAAAGAAUCGAUCUGGUGGACAAGCCAGUCAGCGGUGAUUUAAAAGGGGAUUUUUGAAGCUGAGGUCCUUCAAAACUUCCAAACUCCACGCACAAGGCCAUCAGUUGAUAAACAUGGCUGUUUUACGUCAGCAACCCAGGUAAAAGUUAUUUGUUGGAACACAGUUCAAGAAAAAAAUUUAAAUAAUAUUAUAUAAAUAUUCUAUAAUGAUAAUAUAUUAAGUCAGAUAGAUAAGAAUUAGCGAUCAGAUAAUUUUGGAAAAAUAUUGCAUUAGGUUCAAGUUUUGAUGACCGUCUUUUGUAUUUUCUGGUAAACCUUUGAUAUGUGUGCCUUCAGAAGAGUUUAUUCUGAACAGUAAAUGUGUAUCCAGUUUUAGAAAACUAUCCAAUAACAAAUUGUUUAUCAAACUUA